CUGAUAGUAAGAGUUAGGCAUACUUGUUUGCUCUUGCAUUUUCAGGAUUGUAUGUUGAAAUUGAUUUUUUUUUUGUAUGAACUCUUUGUUUUCUUGCCUAUCUUUUCACAGCAUUCACUGGAAUUAUCUCAGGUAUUUCCAUGUUUUGAGAGAUUUAAAUUUUAUGUACCCUUUGGCAAGGGCACUAAGAUAAGCCUGCAGGUGACUGUUGUUAAAUAUAUGAAUUGUAUGUCUGAAUUCAUUUUAACUCAUUAUGGAAAUUUUUUCCUAGUAAGUCUCAAACACACUACACAGAUCAACACUUCCUAGGAAGUUUGUUUAGCAAAUUUGGCAUUCCAACUGGACAACCUUACCUCAGAUUUACUGGAACAUUAGUGUUAGUGAUAGGUCAAAAAAAGAGAUGAUUAUUCUUGGGGGAGUGUCUCUUAAAAGCAAAAAGCUGUUCCAGAAUUGUUGACCUACUACAGUUGGUGUCAGCUCUGUGAUUGUUUGAAAUUAACAAAAUAUUUAAUGUAACUCUUUAAUCUCAGCCUCAUUGUUGUCCGUUUUCUGCUACUUUGAUUUAAAUAGCUAUAAAUGCAUCAUCCUUCGCUGAAAAUGAAUAUUCUACCCCUCAAAAUGAAGGACAGGUCGACUGCUCAAGACAGUGACUCUUCAGCUUAUGAGGUAUUCUGGGUGGAAGAGGUGGGUCCAGGUGGACAGACCUGGGAAGUGAUGUCAAAAGUGGAAAAGCAUUCAGUCUUCCUUUAUGCAGAGGGAGGAAAAGAGAGUUCAUAAUUACCUCCUGUUUCAGUGGAGAAUUACUAUCGCCCAAGCUUUUAAGAUGCCUUCCAUGCGCACUCAUGUAACAGUAUCCUCUUUUCAAGCAACCCAAACUAUGAGGUGAUGGACGCAAGACAAAGAAUUGCAUUGGCAUAGAGGGAACCUCAAUGAUUCACGACUUUGAACCAAUAAGGCUGGAGGUCCAGGUACCACCUAGUGACACGAGUAUUUGACUUCUUAUGUAAUGCCAUCCACUGUAAGAGGGCAUGGUCUGUCACAAGAGUGAACCUGCAGCCCAGGAGGUAGUACCUCAGCUGGUUAAUAGACCAUUUAAUCACGAGGGCCUCUCUCUCCACUGUAGCAUACCUGGUUUCCCAAUCCAGUAGUUUCCAGCUCAGGUACAUGAUGGGAUGUUCAACACCAUCAAUACUUUGGCUCAGCAUGGCACCAAAAUCUGUGUUCAAAGCAUCAGUCUGCAAGAUAAAAGGAGUUUCUGCAUUCUUUGGGGGCUGGAAAAGCACCCUACACUACAGAAGUCAGGCAAGAAUCACCUACAGAGGAAUUAAUUCCUUUUACAGCCUCUGGCAAAUGUAAAGUGCAUGAAGGAGGAGGUGAUGACUUUGUACUGAAUGGAAAGAGAAGAAAAGAGAAAGGGAGGCCAUUGUAAUGAUGACUGGAGCAUUACACACAGCAGGAACAAGCUUGCUGAGCAAACUGGAAUGGAAUCCAGGGCUUGGCACUAACAGCUCUGCAUUCUGCAAGUGUUCUCCCCUCCCAAACCACACUACGUCAAAAAACCCUCCCCCUCCCAAUGUCUGAAAAAAAAACAGACAUCAAACAGGAGAGUGCAGCAAAAGGAGAAGCUGCUCUAAAUCAUAGCCACCCAGCUUCUGCUUAAAUGAAUUAGUUCAAACAAUGGCAUUCCUCAUAAUUUCAGUUAAAAACAAUGGGCUUUUGGACACAAUGGAGCACAGCACCCCAGGUAGGUUGUGAUCCCUACAAUAAAAAUUAAAAUAAAGCUUUUUUAACUAGUGGAUGACGCUGAAAGAGUAAAUUCUAAACUGUUUCAAAGAAUACCAGGAAAACAGCAGAAAAGGUCAAACACAUACAGUGAAUGCAUAUUACUUCUACAACAAAGGAUUCUGGGAAUGAUGCCUGAUCUGGUAUGAGGCAACAAGGGCAGGAAAAGAAAAUUCAUACCACCCACAGUUCACUGUUAUCAGUUCCCCAAACAAUUGAUCCAAAUCUGUCAGCGGCAUUGCUACAACAAUCAUACAGUGAAAACAAGUGUUGUUGAGCAUAUUUAUGAACUGCAACAAAGAAAUAAUAAAUAUAAAUAUGAAUAUGAAUAGUGGGUGUGGAGGCUAUUCUUCUUCACUUCCUUUCACUAUAAUUAAUGUUCCAUUUCCAUUUGGAGCAGGGAUAUACUGAUAUAAAAGAACACUAACAGGUGAUAUACAUGGGCAGGGCAAAGUCAUAAAUUGCUUUGAAGUCAAUAUAAAGAAUUGUAAGCAUUGGAAAUGCUCUAUAGAAUGGAUGAGGGGUGAAUCCUGGACCAGCUGGAAGGCUGUGAUGCAGGGCCGUUUUACAUGGAAAAGUAAUCUGACCAGGGUGGUUCUCGGUCCUUGGUCCCAGUUAGGGUGAAAGACUAAUGGA